rnacentral:rRNA from 1 species
GCAUAUCAAUAAGCGGAGGAAAAGAAACCAACAGGGAUUGCCUCAGUAACGGCGAGUGAAGCGGCAAAAGCUCAAAUUUGAAACCUCCGGGAUUGUAAUUUGAAGAUUUGGCAUUGAGAAAAGCUAACCCAAGUUACUUGGAAUAGUACGUCAUAGAGGGUGACAACCCCGUCUGGCUAACCGUUUCUCAUGUAUUGCCUUAUCAAAGAGUCGAGUUGUUUGGGAAUGCAGCUCAAAGUGGGUGGUAAACUCCAUCUAAAGCUAAAUACUGGUGAGAGACCGAUAGCGAACAAGUACUGUGAAGGAAAGGUGAAAAGAACUUUGAAAAGAGAGUGAAAUAGUAUGUGAAAUUGUUGAUAGGGAAGGGAAUGAGUGUAGAGUGGUUGAGGUUUCAGCCGUCCUUUGGGACUGCGUACUGCCGACGCCGAGUCAUUGUUAGCGGGGGGUGAGGUAUAAACGGGUUGCACAUUUGUGCUUCUCACCUCCCUCAGCCCCUGCCAUCGACGACAUAAUACACCCAUUCCACCCGUCUUGAAACACGGACCAAGGAGUCUAAUGGAUAUGUGAGUGUUAGGAUGAAAAAUCCCAGCGCGCAAUGAAAGUGAAUGAUUCGUUCAGAAUCGACCGAACUAGAUUUAUUAUGACAGUUUUGAGUAAACAGAUCCAUUGGGACCCGAAAGAUGGUGAACUAUGCCUGGAUAGGGUGAAGUCAGAGGAAACUCUGAUGGAGGCUCGUAGCGGUUCUGACGUGCAAAUCGAUCGUAGAAUCUGGGGAUAGGGGCGAAAGACUAAUCGAACCAUCUAGUAGCUGGUUCCUGCCG